rnacentral:rRNA from 1 species
CGGAGGGUGCAAGCGUUAUCCGGAUUCACUGGGUUUAAAGGGUGCGUAGGUGGCUUUGUAAGUCAGUGGUGAAAUCUCGGAGCUUAACUCCGAAACUGCCAUUGAUACUGCUUAGCUUGAAUCAAGUAGAGGUGGAUGGAAUAUUACAUGUAGCGGUGAAAUGCUUAGAUAUGUAAUAGAACACCGAUUGCGAAGGCAGUUCACUAUGCUUGUAUUGACACUGAGGCACGAAAGCGUGGGGAUCAAACAGGAUUAGAUACCCUGGUAGUCCACGCCCUAAACGAUGUAAACUCGACAUUAGCGAUACACAGUUAGUGUCCAAGGGAAACCGUUAAGUUUACCACCUGGGAAGUACGACCGCAAGGUUG